GACUCCCUUCCGUAGCUCGGGGGGUAAAGUCGCAAGGGUGCGGCGGCGGGGAACCCCGGUUCGAGACCCAGCCGCGACGCUCCGCCCCAAUACGGAGGGGAGUC
rnacentral:misc_RNA from 1 species